UACGUAGGGUGCAAGCGUUGUCCGGAAUUAUUGGGCGUAAAGAGCGUGUAGGCGGUCCGGUAAGUCAGCUGUGAAAGUCAAGGGCUCAACCCUUGAAUGCCGGUUGAUACUGUCGGGCUAGAGUCCGGAAGAGGCGAGUGGAAUUCCCGGUGUAGCGGUGAAAUGCGCAGAUAUCGGGAGGAACACCGGUGGCGAAGGCGGAUCUCUGGGCCGAUACUGACGCUGAGGCGCGAAAGCUAGGGGAGCGAACGGG
rnacentral:rRNA from 1 species